rnacentral:rRNA from 1 species
UACGAAGGGGGCUAGCGUUGUUCGGAAUUACUGGGCGUAAAGCGCGCGCAGGCGGUCUUCCAAGUCAGUGGUGGAAGCCCGGAGCUCAACUCCGGAAUUGCCAUUGAAACUGUUAGACUUGAGGAUGAGAGAGGUGAGUGGAAUUCCCAGUGUAGAGGUGAAAUUCGUAGAUAUUGGGAAGAACACCGGUGGCGAAGGCGGCUCACUGGACCACAACUGACGCUGAGGUGCGAAAGCGUGGGAGCAAACAGG